rnacentral:misc_RNA from 1 species
AUGAAUUGUCAAGGGGGGGUUGUUGCUGGCCUCUCAUCUGAUAAGCAUGUGCACGCCCCCCCUUUUUACAUCCAUCCACACCUGUGCACCCUCUGUAGUUCCAAAGUGGGAGAGCCCGUAAGGCUUUCACAAUCUGGCACUAUGUCUCUUUACAAACGCUUUAUGUAUAGAGUGUCGGCUCAGCGUAUAACAAACGCAGAAAUAUAAAA